rnacentral:rRNA from 1 species
UCUACGGGAGGCAGCAGUGGGGAAUAUUGCACAAUGGGGGAAACCCUGAUGCAGCGACGUCGCGUGAGUGAUGAAGUAUUUCGGUAUGUAAAGCUCUAUCAGCAGGGAAGAAAAUGACGGUACCUGACUAAGAAGCCACGGCUAACCACGUGCCAGCAGGCGCGGUAAUACGUAGGGGCCAAGCGUUAUCCGGAUUUACUGGGUGAAAAGGGAGCGUAGACGGCGGUGCAAGCCAGAUGUGAAAGCCCGGGGCUCAACCCCGGGACUGCAUUGGGAAGUGUGCUGCUAGAGUGUCGGAGAGGCAGGCGGAAUUCCUAGUGUAGCGGUGAAAUGCGUAGAUAUUAGGAGGAACACCAGUGGCGAAGGCGGCCUGCUGGACGAUGACUGACGUUGAGGCUCGAAAGCGUGGGGAGCAAACAGGAUUAGAUACCCUGUAGUC